rnacentral:misc_RNA from 1 species
UUGCGUCGGCGAAUUUCCCUAUUGAUAAUUUCUACGUGUGCCCGCAGUGUGGGUGUGGAUUGAAUUGCAAUAAUGUGAAGGUAAGCAACCUUAGAACCAACCCCUUUGUUUCCUCAACUUAGGGUUUCCAAAUAGAACAGUUUCUUGGAGGAAUCUUUUAAUGCUAUGUGCUAAUUGGAUAUUCCAUGAUCCGAUGUUUCUGUCACUGGAUGGGGUAUGACUUGAUUUGGGUCUUGUUUGUUUACUGGAAAUUGUUGAAUCUCAAAUAUUGAGAUAAAGAACAUUUACAUAUU